rnacentral:rRNA from 1 species
CAGUCGCCGCGGUAAUACGUAGGGUCCGAGCGUUGUCCGGAAUUAUUGGGCGUAAAGGGCUCGUAGGCGGUUUGUUGCGUCGGGAGUGAAAACCCAGGGCUUAACUUUGGGCUUGCUUUCGAUACGGGCAGACUUGAGGCAUUGAGGGGAGAACGGAAUUCCUGGUGUAGCGGUGAAAUGCGCAGAUAUCAGGAGGAACACCGGUGGCGAAGGCGGUUCUCUGGCAAUGUUCUGACGCUGAGGAGCGAAAGUGUGGGGAGCGAACAGGAUUAGAUACCCGUGUAGUCCCUGUCUCUUAUAC